GUGCUAGAAAAACAUUUUUGAAUGUGCCCUCGCGGAAGAAUGUCCACGUCAGUUGACCGGUCGGUCAACGGCUGCCCGAUGGAGAAGUUAAUCGUGGAUUGCGGACCGGAAAAUGGUGUUCGGAUGUAGAGCCCCGCGAUCAAGCCGAUGACUUAUGGCCCAAGAUCAAAUAGCAGAAUCUUCUCCAGUUCUCGCGCCAGCCCUCCAGCGGAACCAACUCCACGCUGCCGCACAACAUCAUCAACGAAAAGUUGGCCAUGGAAAACUGUCUGUUCGAUCCCAAAGCAGGUCGCCGGUCCAAGCGCGAAUCGGUCGGCGAUUGUAAAACUGGCGUCCAGUGUCCCGGCAAAAGCUCAGGUUGGGGAAAAGGAGGCGACGAUAAAAAAGUAAAUGCCGCCGAGGAAGCUUCCUAAAAACCGAGGGACGAUUAAGAUUAGCGUUGCUUUGCGCCGGAGUGGGAAAAAGAAUUUGCAAUACCAACAAUUCAUCAAAAAAAAGUUCUGUGGCAAAGUCUCCGGUGACUUCUUAUGACAUGCUCGAACAGAUCCCCCAAGAUAGUGUCUCAGUUGAACGGAAACCGGAAGCUGAAGUUCAAGCCAUUUCG